rnacentral:tRNA from 1 species
UGGUGAAACAGUAUAUCACACCGCCUUGUCGAGGCAGAGUUGCAGGUUAAAAUCCUACGAGUCCCA